AACUGUUAGACUUCAAUUGCUACCUUAAUUUAAUUGUAAAACUAACAACCAUUGUCAUUAAUAUGGCAAUAUUUUCCCCAAAUCUUAUCAGAAUGGGGAACUGGAGACAUAAAAAUUCUGCUUUUCCUAUUUUCAGCUGACUCUGCCACGAGGCUCGACAACUUCUUGCAUCAACUGUGAUCGCUGUGGCCGCCAAAACAUCCAAAUGUCAGGCGGGCUACAAAGAUUUCAGGCCAAAAGAGAACGCCUCACAUGUGAUGAAGUGUCUGUAUUGGUUGGAAAAACCAGCAGCCCUCCAGUGCUUCAGCCGUCCAACCAUCAACCGUUUCAGACAUCCAUCCUCCCACCACUUCAACCACCAAUCUCUCCACCACUUCAGCCCCACAGCCGUCCACCAGUGUCCCAACUCCUGACAUUUUACUAUCCUGGGGGGGGGUCAUGGCCUCUACGCUGGAUUCCAAAAAAGAGACAAAAAAACCCCGACCUCAACCCCCACUCUUAGUCAGACAUGUUUAUUUUUUUUUAUUUACAAUAAUAAAUAAUAUACUAUGUACAUUUAUUUUGUUUUACUUUUUUAUACUUAGUUUCCUUAUUUCCUAUAAUAUUUAUUAGUAGUUGUUGUUUGUUGAUGUUAGUUCUUUUUAGCCCCUUUUAUGUUAAAAUAGACGUAAAUGAUCCAGAUGCAGAUAUUCUAAUAUAUAGACAGAUUUAUGAAUGAAUUAUUCUCAACAGAAGUUCAACGCUAUUGUGGUAGCAGUUUGACUGUUUUACUGUAAUCUGUCGUGCCUCACCCACUGUCCAUCCAAUAAAAAAGAACAAUUGUACAUC